rnacentral:rRNA from 1 species
CCUACGGGUGGCAGCAGUGGGGAAUAUUGCACAAUGGGGGAAACCCUGAUGCAGCGACGCCGCGUGAGUGAAGAAGUAUUUCGGUAUGUAAAGCUCUAUCAGCAGGGAAGAAAAUGACGGUACCUGACUAAGAAGCCCCGGCUAACUACGUGCCAGCAGCCGCGGUAAUACGUAGGGGGCAAGCGUUAUCCGGAUUUACUGGGUGUAAAGGGAGCGUAGACGGCAGCGCAAGUCUGAAGUGAAAUCUCAUGGCUCAACCAUGGAACUGCUUUGGAAACUGUGCAGCUGGAGUGCAGGAGAGGUAAGCGGAAUUCCGAGUGUAGCGGUGAAAUGCGUAGAUAGUAGGAGGAACACCAGUGGCGAAGGCGGCUUACUGGACUGUAACUGACGUUGAGGCUCGAAAGCGUGGGGAGCAAACAGGAUUAGAUACCCCUGUAGUC